rnacentral:lncRNA from 1 species
ACUCAGCUCUUAGCUACUAACAUUACAUCACGUAAAGCCACGUCAGAAGGCGCCUUGCAGAGCUGCUGUGUUGGCCUUUGACCUGUGCUCCAGAGGAACUGUGGAGAGGACGCUAGAGGAACUGGUCAGCAGUAUUUGUAUACAGUCUGUGUCAGGGACUCAGGUCACAGGUGAACUAGGUAAUCAUUUCUUCAUUAAAACUGUAAAACUACAGCCUUACAAAGUUUGCUGUUAACAAAAAUUCAGGAUAUAAUACAUUCUAGAAAUUUAUUUUCAUCUUUUUCCUAUUUACCUUGUUAAAAAACACUUUUCCUCAUACGUGCAAUCAACUGAGACUCAUCAGUUUUCUACACUGUUUCAAAUCCUCCGGCCUUAACAUUCAUUCAAGGAGAGUGCCCUAUCACUAAGCUGUAUUCCCAGACCUUUAAAAAAUAAUUUUGAAAAAAACCCCAAAAAACAGUAUAUGUUUGUUUGGGGUCAGAACAAAUGAUUUUCUGUUUUUGAUACAGAGUCUGUACAUAGCCCAAAGUAGUAAUUCUCAAGCCUUAGACUUUUACAUAAUGAGAUUCUAGGAGUGUGCCGCCAUACCAGCUCAGUGCAGUUACUUUUAAAACAAAAAUAUACUUUAAAAUGUAUACAUAUCUAUUUUCAACUGAACACACACACACACACACACACACAUACAUACAUAACACACACACACAUACACAUUGGUGGUGUUUUUGUUUUUUUGUUUUGUUUUGUUUUAAAUAGGAAUCCCUUCUUGAGUAAUACCAAGUCUCUGAAACAAGCAGGGGAAAUAGAAACUGUCUUUAGACUUGAGUCUCGCUUUCCCUUUCAGGUAAAAUUUAGGGUUCUUAGGGUUCUUUUAGGUAGUUCUCAGAGAUCAUCAGAGAAGUUCUAGAGAGUUCUUAUCCCUGAACUAAUUUGAACAAAUUUUAUCUGGAAGUUCGGAGGCUUGGGGGAGGGUAGUGAGGAUCAGUGCCCUUCCUGUCGGCCCACCCUAACAGUGCUGGCUGAUGGAGGGGACAGCUUUGUCUCAAGGCCUUUGGUUCACAUUCUCGUUUAAGGCCGGAGCACUGUGAGCACAGAUGCUGGGUAUGGCAGACAGAUGUGAACACGAGAGAAAUGCAGCAAAACGAUGACCAGCAACACGCUUACAUUCUCUAUCAAGGAUUUCUUAGCCCCAAGAAUCCUGCCUUGAUGUAUUCACAAAUUUAACGGCUUGUCAGACUUUUCAAGUCACCAUAACUGCUUUUUUGCAUUUGUUUCCAUAUUGAUGAUGUUGAAUGUGCCUUAUUCAAAUCAACUGUCAUUUACAAUAAAUUGCCUUGAUUUUUCCUAGUUGCUUGAUUUUUGACUAAAAUUUCCAAAAUAAAGAGUUUAUGGAAAUGGG